rnacentral:tRNA from 1 species
AUGGAUUUAGCGACAACAACUUCGGAUUGAAAAUCCGCGUGUCGGUGGUUCAAAUCCGCCUCCGGGCACCA